AUGAAUCAGGAGGACUGUGAGAGGACAGACAGGAAAGUAGAACAGGGAAGUGACACUGAGUGUGUGCAUCUAAACCAACAAAACCACAACCCACAAUCACUGUCUCAUGUUAAUACUACUUCUACACACAACCCACCAUCACUGUGUCUCAUGUUAAUACUACUCCUAAACACAACCCACCAUCACUGUCUCAUGUUAAUAUUACUCCUAAAGAUCUUACGAAGCAUACACCUAAUCACUGUUACUCUCAGUCUUACUUUAGGUCAUUUUCAAACAAGUCUCCACAACAAUCUCUUGCUUUGAGAGUCCUUAAGAUACCAUGCUAAAGUAUUAUAUGUGUAACCCCAUGUACAAUACUGUAUCAGAUUAAUAUACGCAGAAAUACAUCUACAGAGUAUACUGUACAUAACAGAAAAACAAAACAUAUAUUACAAUAGCAUUGCCAUGCACAUAACAGGAUACAGAAGUUCAUGGAUACAAACAAAUGAUAAAAUAAACAUAUUUUAAGAUAUAGUCAAGCAUACUUACAGAGUGAAGGGGAAAUGUGUUGCAAGUUAGCUUACUGGAAGUCUAUAUAAAUAGACACUGAGUGUGAGGUUGGAGGUUUGAAGUCUGUGGCUGACACAACUUUGAAGCAGUCAGGGACAAUAGAGUUGAGUAGAGGGCGUUCUUGCUUCAAAGCCUGUUUUAGCAUGGCUAAGCCAUUGAAUACACCAUUUCAGUUGGUAUAAAGACUGUUAUCAAACUUAUGGAAGUUGAAGAUAUGAACAACUUUAAUAUGGAAAUAGCCCUCAAUGGUGCUGCUCAUUCUGUCACAGAAGACAUCAUGACAAAGAUGUCAAGAUGUACCUUCUAUCCAACUCUAUGUCAGGGACCAAGAAGCUUAUGCAGAGAGGGCUUCCUUCAGCAGUCACUCAGACAGUGUUCGAGAGCAUCAAAACUGAUGUAUCAUGGGUAAAUUGUGACUGACUGAAUGAUCUAUAAAUAAUAUUGAGUAGUUAUUCAUCAUGCAAGGUGAUUUGUAGAUUUCGACUUGCCUCUAAAGUCAGCUACAAUGUCGAACACUCCCACAUUUACAAAAAUCCCAUUCAAAUCACGAGACUGAUAUUAAUAUUUUACAUAUUAACAAUCUCACAUCAUGUUCAAAUCAUCUGGAAGUGACUUUGUUGAGCUUCACAACGCAUUUUUUUAAACUUUUGAUUGAUUUUGAAAUUAUGUGCGAGAAAUGCCUCUUAUCAGUCACAUGACGAAUGGGAUUUGUGACACGAAUGCUAAAACGUUAGCAAGUGGAAACAGUGUCAGGGGAAACUAAACCAAAGCAGGGACUGAUGUCACACCAUGUUCAUAGACUGCUAAAAGGGAAGGGAAACCAAUGUGUCAUUUUGUAAUUUGGUUGAACCUCCGAGAUAUUAUAACAAUAUAUUAGUAAGAGAAUAGAGGUGUAAGGACUAGCUUUGAUUUGGAGCCAUAGCUCUUCANNNNNNNNNNUCAAAGUUCCAUGAUGUUAUUCAAUUAGAACCCAUUCAAUUUAAACACCCAUGACCAUCACUCCUCAUCAUCUGCAUCAAAGUGGUGCUGAAGGUUCCAGUGUUCUAGACUAGAGCUCCACCUACUGGCAUCUCAACAUUACUGCAGCCUCCAGACCUCAUGAUGUCCUCAUUCAUUUGGGAAGUAAUGGGAAUAAAAUGAAUGAUGCUCCUGUCAUUCCAGACAUUAUAAUGAGCCCAUCCUCCUGUAUACCAGCCUCCUCUGUUGUACAGUACUGGUAGAAGCUGUAUCUAGGAGAGGCAUGAUUGAACAUCACCACAGCCUGCUGUACUGACUGUGUGGUCUAUUGUAGUCUACUGUCCAUAAAUAUUGCCAUUUAGUUAUCAAAAGCAAUGUACAGUCNNNNNNNNNNNNNNNNNNNNNNNNNNNNNNNNNNNNNNNNNNNCAUAUAUUUAUUUUAUUUUAAAAAAUGUGUCAAUUUUCACUGUGGUCUUUUAUACUACAUACAGAACCAUGUAAACAAUGUGUUGACUAAACUAUUUAUAACAUUAACAUUUUAAUGACCUACCUUGCCCUUCUCAGUUCUGUAUAUACAGGUCAAAGUUCCAUGAUGUUAUUCAAUUAGAACCCAUUCAAUUUAAACACCCAUGACCAUCACUCCUCAUCAUCUGCAUCAAAGUGGUGCUGAAGGUUCCAGUGUUCUAGACUAGAGCUNNNNNNNNNNUGGUUCUCUUCAGUCCAGGUUCUGUGAUGGUUCUAUCAGCCCAGGUUCUGUGGGUGGUCCCCUGGAUGGUCUGAUACACAGAGGGCUGAGUGUCUCUCUGAAGAGCUGUGAAUGUGUCACUGGGCGAGUCCCUCACACUCUGAGAGAGAGACAGCGACACAGGAAACACAGCAUGAGCACUUUACACACUGCUCUAUAGCAUUCUCGCUCACUUCUACUUUCUGUGUUCAUCUCUCUCACUCACCCAAUUACCCACUCACACAAACAAACACAAAAACUGUAUACAAAAUAAACACCUAUAUGAAUGUGUUAUAACAUACCUACAGCCAGAGUGUCUGGUCCUCAUUUUCAGUGGUGUGUGUGUCCCAGUUAGGGUCAGGAUGGACACUGUGGAGAGAGAGCUGUGUCAAGGUACAGGGAAAAUAGUAGAAAGAGACUAUUGUGACACAGUAAAAAAUAAAAGCAGUAACUUAUCAACAGGAAGUGUGUUGAUAGAAUGACCAUCUGUAGAGCAUCUAUCCAGACUAUCCAAAUAAAGUGGCUAAAAAACUAUAUCACUGUAAAUCCCUUUAUCACUGAGUUUUCCCUCUAAGACACUGAUGGAAGAAAUCCUAUUCUAUACAGAUGUAAACACAAACCAAGACUAAUGCCCAGAACUAAAUGGAAUUCAACAGUUUAGCUUUAUUGAAUUUAACUGUACCUGUGACAGACAGAGUGACUACAGGAUCGCCAGCAUAUUUCCCUACGGUCUGAUCUGCUAUAAAUCUGAACUUGUAUGUAGCUGAGUCACUGUCUCUCAGGUCUCUGAUUGUCAGAGUGUGGCCAUUCUUCUUGUCGCUACGGUACGUCACACGACCUUUGUAGUCUGGGUCACCACUCAGAGUCACGGUAUAAAGUUUGGUAAAUCAGAAGGUUGUUGUGAUUGUAUAGCCACUGGGAUAUGUGUAAGAGCAGGACAGCUCUACUGUUGACCCCUUCAAGGUGCAGAUACUCUGAGUGGUGUAUUUCACACUCCUGCCAUCCUGACCCAGUAACACUGCAACGCAAUCACACAUGAUGGUGAUUAUACAUUACAGACUCAUUUUCUCACACUAACAGCAUUUGUCCACACUUUGUUGCCGUACUCUACUUGCUGAGUAUGAAUGAAAACCACAGAAAGGACUUAAGACAAAGACAACUAUUCCAGAAAAGCAGAAGCCCCUAACAGACGAUGUGUAAUGAUUUUCCUCCUCUUCUGACGAGGAGUAUGAAAGAUUGGACCAAAACGCAGCGUGGUAAGUGUCCAUUUUUUAUGAAAAUAUAACUGAAC
rnacentral:lncRNA from 13 species